GGAGUGCAUCCGCCCCAACCCUUUUCCCCCUCGUCUCCUGUGAGAAUUCCCCGUCGGAUACGAGCAGCGUGGCCGUUGGCUGCCUCGCACAGGACUUCCUUCCCGACUCCAUCACUUUCUCCUGGAAAUACAAGAACAACUCUGACAUCAGCAGCACCCGGGGCUUCCCAUCAGUCCUGAGAGGGGGCAAGUACGCAGCCACCUCACAGGUGCUGCUGCCUUCCAAGGACGUCAUGCAGGGCACAGACGAACACGUGGUGUGCAAAGUCCAGCACCCCAACGGCAACAAAGAAAAGAACGUGCCUCUUCCAGUGAUUGCUGAGCUGCCUCCCAAAGUGAGCGUCUUCGUCCCACCCCGCGACGGCUUCUUCGGCAACCCCCGCAAGUCCAAGCUCAUCUGCCAGGCCACGGGUUUCAGUCCCCGGCAGAUUCAGGUGUCCUGGCUGCGCGAGGGGAAGCAGGUGGGGUCUGGCGUCACCACGGACCAGGUGCAGGCUGAGGCCAAAGAGUCUGGGCCCACGACCUACAAGGUGACCAGCACACUGACCAUCAAAGAGAGCGACUGGCUCGGCCAGAGCAUGUUCACCUGCCGCGUGGAUCACAGGGGCCUGACCUUCCAGCAGAAUGCGUCCUCCAUGUGUGUCCCCGAUCAAGACACAGCCAUCCGGGUCUUCGCCAUCCCCCCAUCCUUUGCCAGCAUCUUCCUCACCAAGUCCACCAAGUUGACCUGCCUGGUCACAGACCUGACCACCUAUGACAGCGUGACCAUCUCCUGGACCCGCCAGAAUGGCGAAGCUGUGAAAACCCACACCAACAUCUCCGAGAGCCACCCCAAUGCCACUUUCAGCGCCGUGGGUGAGGCCAGCAUCUGCGAGGAUGACUGGAAUUCCGGGGAGAGGUUCACGUGCACCGUGACCCACACAGACCUGCCCUCGCCACUGAAGCAGACCAUCUCCCGGCCCAAGGGGGUGGCCCUGCACAGGCCCGAUGUCUACUUGCUGCCACCAGCCCGGGAGCAGCUGAACCUGCGGGAGUCGGCCACCAUCACGUGCCUGGUGACGGGCUUCUCUCCCGCGGACGUCUUCGUGCAGUGGAUGCAGAGGGGGCAGCCCUUGUCCCCGGAGAAGUAUGUGACCAGCGCCCCAAUGCCUGAGCCCCAGGCCCCAGGCCGGUACUUCGCCCACAGCAUCCUGACCGUGUCCGAAGAGGAAUGGAACACGGGGGAGACCUACACCUGCGUGGUGGCCCAUGAGGCCCUGCCCAACAGGGUCACCGAGAGGACCGUGGACAAGUCCACCGAGGGGGAGGUGAGCGCCGACGAGGAGGGCUUUGAGAACCUGUGGGCCACCGCCUCCACCUUCAUCGUCCUCUUCCUCCUGAGCCUCUUCUACAGUACCACCGUCACCUUGUUCAAGGUGAAAUGA